rnacentral:rRNA from 1 species
GACGAACGCUGGCGGCGUGCUUAACACAUGCAAGUCGAGCGGUAAGGCCCUUUCGGGGGUACGACGAGCGGCGAACGGGUGAGUAACACGUGGGUGACCUGCCCUUAGCUCUGGGAUAAGCCUGGGAAACUGGGUCUAAUACCGGAUAUGACUCCAUGACGCAUGUUGUGGGGUGGAAAGCCUUGUGCGGCUAGGGAUGGGCCCGCGGCCUAUCAGCUUGUUGGUGGGGUGAUGGCCUACCAAGGCGACGACGGGUAGCCGGCCUGAGAGGGCGACCGGCCACACUGGGACUGAGACACGGCCCAGACUCCUACGGGAGGCAGCAGUGGGGAAUCUUGCGCAAUGGGCGAAAGCCUGACGCAGCGACGCCGCGUGGGGAUGACGGCCU